UACGGAAGGCAGCAGUGGGGAAUAUUGCACAAUGGGCGCAAGCCUGAUGCAGCCAUGCCGCGUGUAUGAAAAAGGCCUUCGGGUUGUAAAGUACUUUCAGUCGUGAGGAAGGUGUUAAGGUUAAUAACCUUAGCAAUUGACGUUAGCGACAGAAGAAGCACCGGCUAACUCCGUGCCAGCAGCCGCGGUAAUACGGAGGGUGCGAGCGUUAAUCGGAAUUACUGGGCGUAAAGGGCACGCAGGCGGUUAAUUAAGUUGGAUGUGAAAUCCCCGGGCUUAACCUGGGAAUAGCAUUCAAGACUGGUUAGCUAGAGUCUUGUAGAGGGGGUAGAAUUCCAUGUGUAGCGGUGAAAUGCGUAGAGAUGUGGAGGAAUACCGGUGGCGAAGGCGGCCCCUGGACAAAGACUGACGCUCAUGUGCGAAAGCGUGGGGAGCAAACGAGGGAUUAGAUACC
rnacentral:rRNA from 1 species